rnacentral:rRNA from 1 species
CUACGGGAGGCAGCAGUGAGGAAUUUUGCGCAAUGGGGGAAACCCUGACGCAGCAACGCCGCGUGAGCGAAGAAGGCCCUCGGGUCGUAAAGCUCUGUCAAGUGGGAAAAAAAUCUUUUGAUCAAUAGUCAAAAGACUUGAUGGUACCACUGGAGGAAGCACCGGCUAACUCCGUGCCAGCAGCCGCGAUAAUACGGAGGGUGCAAGCGUUGUUCGGAUUUACUGGGCGUAAAGAGCGUGUAGGCGGUUUAGCAAGUCAGAUGUGAAAGCCCUGGGCUCAACCCGGGAAGUGCAUUUGAAACUGCUUCACUAGAGUAUGGGAGAGGAGAUUGGAAUUCCUGGUGUAGAGGUGAAAUUCGUAGAUAUCAGGAGGAACACCCGUGGCGAAGGCGAUUCUCUGGACCAAUACUGACGCUGAGACGCGAAAGCGUGGGGAGCAAACAGGAUUAGAUACCCUCGUAGUC